AUACGACACUCUGGAGAGAGACGUUAAAUCGUCCGCCGAAGGGAUAGCGAUCUCAGGCACCAUGACAGAGGGGGCAUC
rnacentral:ncRNA from 2 species